UCUUGAAUUAGAAGAGCAAAUCAAUGUAGUCAAGAGAGGCUACUGGAAAGUAUGCCAAUUUAUGUCUCAGGGGAAAAGUAAAAAUUGUAACCUUUCCUAAUAGUAAUCAUGAAGAAGUUACAUUGGCCAGCAGGCCUCAUAGGAUUAAAUGGGUUGAACCCUGAGAGGAGACAGACCAUGGUAUGACUGGAACAUUUAUUUUCUUUGGGAACAUUCCAAUGAAAACUACAGAAAAUUGAGUGACUCCUCAUAACAACAGUAAAAAAGCAGAGGAAAUGAAACCUAAGCUAACCUGUGGUGUUGCAAAUGUGAGAAAGCCUAAUGACUGCACCGAGCUCGCUUAGAGAGAAUGAAGCAGCAGAUCAAGAAGCCCUGAGGACACGUGAUGUAGGCAGCCCACUUGUGGAGUUCAACACUUCCAUGUGAAUGGAUGUAAUGUCAGUAUAUCCUGACAGUUCCAAGGAUCUUCAAGCACUCUGUAAAUAUGAAUUCCAUCAUUCACACUCUGGAGCGAUGAAUCCAGCAUUAUACCUACUUUACAGUUUGGGUUUACCACGUGAUAAGCUCAAGGUCACAGAGAAAAGAAGCUUGGAAUAAACCAGCAUAUAACUCCUGGUCCCUCUUGGUUGGCAUUCUUUCCUACUUCUAUGCUUGAGCUUAAUGACUGUACAGCACUGUAAAUACCAGGCAGUCCUUCAGCACAGAAGGACAGGGUUUGCUUCAGUGCUAUUUU
rnacentral:lncRNA from 1 species